rnacentral:rRNA from 1 species
UACGUAGGGCGCAAGCGUUGUCCGGAAUUAUUGGAGCGUAAAGAGCUCGUAGGCGGCUUGUCACGUCGGGUGUGAAAGCCCGGGGCUUAACCCCGGGUCUGCAUUCGAUACGGGCUAGCUAGAGUGUGGUAGGGGAGAUCGGAAUUCCUGGUGUAGCGGUGAAAUGCGCAGAUAUCAGGAGGAACACCGGUGGCGAAGGCGGAUCUCUGGGACGUUACUGACGCUGAGACGCGAAAGCGUGGGGAGCAAACAGG